rnacentral:lncRNA from 1 species
UCAAACCAUUGGAGCUCAUUUUGCAUUUGUAUGGCAGGAAAAUUUUCUUUGACAGUUUCAACAGCAGCGAAAUGCAAGAUAGUGUUUUUUGUUUUUUCUUGAAAUCCAGACAACAACCAAGGUGGCAACAUUGGAUUGUUCCCUGAGGCCAUUGACUGUAUAAUCUCAACAAUCUUUUCCUGACCAUGCUGAAUUGCCACUUGAAGGACAUUCCUCCCCUCUGCGUCAAGGUAUGCUGCAGAUGCUGGACAUACUGUUAAGAUUUUCUGUACAAACUCAUGAAGGCCCAUUUUUGCGCCAAGAAUCAAAGGUGAUUCAUUCCAUCGACUUUUCUUAGGAUCCUUAAAGGACAUUAAAAUUUUCUUUACGAACUCCUGAAGGCUCAUUUUGCCAUCAAGAAUCAAAGGUGAUUCAUUCCAUCGAGUCUUCUUAGAAUCGUCAAUGCGAUCGAGGUUUGUUAAAACUUGCUUGAUAAUCUCACGAAGGCUCAUUUUUGCAUCAAGAAUCGAAGGUGAUGUAUCUUUAUGAGUUUGGCUCAUGUCUGGUGGAUUUCUUGGAAUUUCGCUGUCUUCUGGUGGAAUUCCAAAACUUUGGCCCAUGGAUGUUGGAACUCCAAAAAUUUCGCUUCCGCCAAAUGGAAUUCCUGAAUUUGUGCUGUUGUCUCCUGGUGGAAUUCUUCCCUUGUCAAUAAAAUCCCAGUAACGAGGAUCUUCAGCCAAAUAAGCAAUAAGAUUCAUAGCUUGUUUUUG